AGCAGCCCGUCUGCGGCUCAGCUGCGAGGCAGAGGGUGUUUGGAAAGGGAAGCCCAGCAACUGGGGCGAGAAGUCAGAAAUGCUAUCCCUGGACUGUGUCAACUUUUAGAGUGUUAGGAUGCUCUCGUUGUUUUACUCUGAGGAUGGUCUGUUUGCCUUUUAAGAGAAAUCAUUUACUGUGUCUGUGUCUUCCUGUGCAGAGUAACAACCUGAUUUGUUUCUUCGCACUGUAACAGAUCUUCACACUGACUCGCCCAUACCUGUGUGCCUAUGAGUUACUGGCCUCCUGCUCGUGAAGGAAAUCUCUCACUCUCCUCACCGCUUACAGGUGAGAUGUUCUAUAAAUAAUGCUGUAUAUAAUGUGUGCUGAAAUGAGAUCUGUGUAGUAGGCUGAGCAAGGGGAUUUAUAGCUGGUGCUUUGGGAUUUUGGCAUUCAGCUGUGUAGCGGUGCCCAUAAAACCAUGUUUCAAGCUGCACAUAGAGUUUUGUCUCAAAUCAACUUUUUCUCUUGGGCCCCUUUACAGAUUGGUCUUAGCCUGUAUAUUCAGAUACACUCUUCAGUAAGAGUAGACACAAGGCACCCACAGAAGUUCCAAAGAGUAAGUUAAAUCCUUAAUGAGGCUGCAUGACUAGAUCAAUGCUUAUGUGAAAAAAAAAAAAAAAAACCUGACCAUUUUGAUUUUUUUCUCAGUCUACUCUUUAUCACUGGAAAAAGUGAUGGAAACUUUACAAGUUUCCAAAAAAAAAAAAAAAAAAAAAAAAAGCAAAACCAACCAACCAAGCCCCCCUCUCUGUGACUCUGCAUUACGGCCUUUUAUGCCAUGUGCAUUGAAUUUCUCCUUUUCCCCCUUCCCAGCCUGUCUGUGAGAAGCCCAUAAGCCAGCUGCAGCAUGCAGAGCUUCAGCCAUCCAAGCAGGAUAAGGUGCAGCACUGCAGUGCUGUGAGACGUUCAGUCUGUGCUGUCACAGCCCUCUCUGUGGACACUGUUAGGCCAUAGAUCACAUCAUCUAUAAGAAAACAUAUUUUUUUUCCAGAAACUGAGUCUCUAACUGCACGUGCCCAUCAUGUAAUUGUUUCAAUAGGAAAAAAAGCCCCAGCAACUAAGUUUUUCUAGCGCUGCCAGAAAAUCCUACUGAACUAGGAACAGCAAAUCAUGUUUUUCCUUCCUUUAUAAUGAUGGGGCUGUUUAGAAGACAAUGCCCACAGGGCAGUCCAGCUUCUUGUCAAAAUGUAAUCUACUGUUCCAGAUGGUAAACAUUCAAAGACAUAUUUAUGGUGACUUCUACAUACCUGCCUUUGACAUUGGCUUUUUUUUUCUUCCCUGAGAACACUUGUGCUGGGUACACACAUGAAGUUCCCAUUAGCAUCCCAGCAGCUGUAAAAGUGUUCAGAACUCUCAGAGAUGUUCCUCACGGUGAGAUAAAAGUAAUCUGAGGGAGAGAUCUGAGACCGGUGCGACUUUCGGAGAUCCGUGAUAUGCUCAAGGUUAGAAAUUCCAGGGGAACAAAAAGAUCCAUAAGCCACUGUAUGAAAGCUGUAAGAUGUUCUUGUUGCGGCUAAUUCAUCUCUGUUUGAUAGGGAAUGCUGAGCAUACCAGGCAUGUCUGUACUAUCAACUGCAUUUGUGAUGUGAGGGAAUCUGCACCGCACAAAAUGUGGUGGGUUUGUUUUUCCCCCAGAUUUCCCCUCUGCUCCCACAUAGUGGAAUGGCAGCAUCAUAGAAUGGCUGAGGUUGGGGGGGACCUUAAAGAUCAUGGAGCUCCAGUCCCCUGCUGUGGGCAUUGAUGACUGGAUUGGUACUGAUCAUCUUCAUAGAAAUGUUUAAGUGACACCCUUUUUUUCCUCACUGCUCUGAACAGCGAGACAGAGCCCAAGAAAACGUUUUCCAGUCUGAGUGUGUUCUGCC
ensembl:lncRNA